CACGUAGGGGGCAAGCGUUGUCCGGAAUCAUUGGGCGUAAAGAGCGUGUAGGCGGCUCGGUAAGUCCGCUGUAAAAGUCCAGGGCUCAACCCUGGAAAGCCGGUGGAAACUGUCGAGCUAGAGUCCGGAAGAGGCGAGUGGAAUUCCUGGUGUAGCGGUGAAAUGCGCAGAUAUCAGGAGGAACACCAAUGGCGAAGGCAGCUCGCUGGGACGGUACUGACGCUGAGACGCGAAAGCGUGGGGAGCAAACAGG
rnacentral:rRNA from 1 species